AAAAAAAAAGAAAUAAAAAUUCUUAAAUGUGCAAAAUACAUUAGAUAAAAUGGAGACAAUCUCAAAAUCUCAAACUAAACAAAACUACCAAGGACCACAACUGGUGAUUUAAUUAACCAAAUCAAGAAAGCACAAUUCAUGCAAACAAGACAAAGGAAAGAACUCCAUAUCAUAAACAAGAAAACAUGGAUGCAUUGAUCUAACAACAAAAUUUUUCUCAAUCAAAA
rnacentral:misc_RNA from 1 species